AACGCCCUGAACUUAAGCAUAUCAGUAAGGGCAGGAAAAGAAACCAACUGGGAUUCCACUAGUAGCGGCGAGUGAACAUGGAUGAGCUCUAAUGGUAAAGUGCAAGCACUGUUGUAAGAGCACUGCUAGCUAGAUCUGCUGGAAUGCAGAGCACAUGCGGGUGACAGCCCCGGACAGCAACAGCAGUGCGGUAGAGCGAGUA
rnacentral:rRNA from 1 species